rnacentral:rRNA from 1 species
GAUGAACGCUGGCGGCGUGCUUAACACAUGCAAGUCGAACGGCAAGGCCCUGCUUUUGUGGGGUGCUCGGGUGGCGAACGGGUGCGUAACACGUGAGUAUCCUGCCCUUGACUUUGGGAUAACUUCAGGAAACUGGGGCUACUACCGUAUAGCAGCUCAUGCUCGAUUGUGGGGGUUGGAUCGUUUCUGCUGUUGGGGAUGGAUUCGCGGCUAAUCGGCUUGUUGGUUGGGUAGUGGCUUACCCAGUUAUUGGCGGGUAGCCGGCAUGGGAGGGUGACCAGGCACAAUGGGACUAAGGGAGGGCCCAGACGCCUACAGGGGACAACGGUGGGAAAUAUUGCACAAUGGGCGGGAGCCUGAGACAGCAACGCCGCGGGCGGGAUGACGGCCUGCGGGGUAUGAACCGCUUUAGCCUGAGACGAAGCGUGAGUGACGGUAAUGGGUAAAGAAGCACCGGCUAACUACGUG